rnacentral:ncRNA from 1 species
UAGUUAAGUCGGUAAAAGGGAAUCCAGUGUAAGUCUGGAACUGUAUCCGUAGCUGUAAAUCAAUAAAACCGGGCGUUCUACGAACCACUGACCAUAAAUAUAGGAAAGGUUGGGAAGGUGAUUGCCGAGUAAAGGGAGAUGAGUCAGAAAACCUGCCAUAAUUGAA